rnacentral:rRNA from 1 species
GGGUGUGACUGCGUACCUUUUGUAUAAUGGGUCAGCGACUUAUAUUCUGUAGCAAGGUUAACCGUAUAGGGGAGCCGGAGGGAAACCGAGUCUUAACCGGGCGUUAAGUUGCAGGGUAUAGACCCGAAACCCGGUGAUCUAGCCAUGGGCAGGUUGAAGGUUGGGUAACACUAACUGGAGGACCGAACCGACUAAUGUUGAAAAAUUAGCGGAUGACCUGUGGCUGGGGGUGAAAGGCCAAUCAAACCGGGAGAUAGCUGGUUCUCCCCGAAAGCUAUUUAGGUAGCGCCUCGUGAACUCAUCUCCGGGGGUAGAGCACUGUUUCGGCUAGGGGGCCAUCCCGGCUUACCAACCCGAUGCAAACUGCGAAUACCGGAGAAUGUUAUCACGGGAGACACACGGCGGGUGCUAACGUCCGUCGUGAAGAGGGAAACAACCCAGACCGCCAGCUAAGGUCCCAAAGUCAUGGUUAAGUGGGAAACGAUGUGGGAAGGCCCAGACAGCCAGGAUGUUGGCUUAGAAGCAGCCAUCAUUUAAAGAAAGCGUAAUAGCUCACUGGUCGAGUCGGCCUGCGCGGAAGAUGUAACGGGGCUAAACCAU